AUCUUAACCAUCUCAUCCAAUACCUUCUCAGAUGCCACCUCAGAGAAUACCUUCUCACAAUUCAGAGUACAUGCCUCCAGCAAGUCCAGACUCAGCCUCUGGCUCACCGAAUUCUUACCUGAAAUCUUCUUUUUUAUGGCACGAACAAUCUCGGUCCCAUUAAACUCUUCACAGUUGAUCAUUGCGCAUAUCCUCAAAUUCAUACCCCAGUUUGGCUCCUCCAUUGUUUCCAUUGUGGCCUCGUCAACCAUCUUAGAUUCGGGUGUAGGAGUUUGCAGCAUUUCCUUCACCUUAUCACUUACAAGACGACUCAUUUGAGCCCCACCUGUCUUCAACCGUUCCCCCCAUUGAGAUAGUUUCAACUUGUCCAUUUUAUUAAGUCCAAAACGCAAACUUCAAAAGCAAUAGCAAACCCUCAGCUCAGUAAUUCGCAAUCCAAGCUGCAACUAAGCCAACACAUGAGCGCCUUUAGUUUAAGAAGAGGAAAAACAGAGGAUUCAGCAGAAAACCGGUGUGAGCGAGGAGGAGAGAGGCAAUAGUCAAAGUCUAAGAUACGCG
rnacentral:misc_RNA from 1 species